UCCCCGAUAUACGCUAUCAAUGCGGACCGGAGGCAAUAGCGUAUCUCGAAUAUUCAAUAGCGAAAGUCGAAUUUCGAGGUUUUCAGUCAAAUUAUAACUAAUAUCCGUAUAACUUUGCAUGAAGUGGUAGGUUUUAGCCACUAAAUUAGUUAUUUGAUCUAAUUUCAACUGAAUUUUUCAAUUUUAUACCAUUUGAAAUGGUUUUUAAUAUUCAACCAAAGGGAAUUUAUUUUGCAUUUGACAUUCGAUUUAUAAAAUUAGUACUACUUGUUCAAAGAACCGUCAAAUUUAGAAAAAAAGCGUAUAGCGAAAUCGUGUAUAUCGAGUAUGGCGUAUAUCGGGGAAUACCUGUAUAGCCACACGAGGAAGGCGCUGCUUCGCGUUCACAUGAAAAUGUGAUAGUGUGAAAUCAAGUUUGCAAGCGGUAGGACGCGUCGGUGUGUGUCCGUUUUUUCUCUCGUGAAACCAGUACGGAAAAACUAUUUGAAAUCGUAACACACGCACGAACGGAAGUGAGCACGGACCACAACAGAAGCAAUAUUCAAUUGGUUGGUAAGUAUUGUGCUUGACGUUAAAUUGAACAGCUGUUGGCAAAAUAAUUAAUAUUUCCUUCUAUCCCUAGGAGUGCCGAAAACAGAACAGGAGAGGAAAGAAGGCAGGAACGAUCCGAUCCUCCAACGUGCUAGCGCCUGGUAGAGGAGAAGCGGCAGGAAGGUAGAGACGAACAUCCACCUCGCUAGUGCAGCACGUGGGAGCAGCAAGAGGGAAGCAAGCAGGACGCGUACACACCAUUCGACGAAGGCAAAGCUGGAGGAAAGGAAGAACGAGGAGAGAAGGCAGGCAAGACGGGUACGUGUGUAUCCCGCACCGGUUUUCGGCAGUGUGAAUUGUGUGAGUAUUGAAAAGUGUAUGUGUGAGUUGAGGUAAAGAGGUUAAAUAAAAAGCGAAUGUGUGGAAUGGAAAAAUUAGAGAGAGUCUGUGUUUGUUUUGGGAGAGAGGAGAGAAUGAAAGAAAUUGAACAAUAAUUUAGCAUACAGAAACUACAUGUAUGAUACACGCUGUCGCACCGUUGCAGAAACGUGCUCUUUAGUGCUGCUAAUGAGCACGAUUUGAGAACGUUUUGAGCCCGUUUUUUCUCAUACAAAAUUGUAAAAUGUCGCGCGAUAAUGUCGGUUGGGGUAUUUUCAAUGAGCCAAGCGAUUUUACCCCCUCCUACACGCGAUGUAUCCUAAAGCACGCUUGUCGCGGCAACGUUCACCACAUACACACACACAUCUCCACACUCAGGGUACGACAUCUUCCCUGUUGCUGUUCUGGACACAGACAAAAUUUGUGUUUCUACACUUAUUGUUCAAAAAAGUAGUAGCUCUUAGGAUCUGAAUUUACAAACAAAUAUCAAAAUGUUAUGUUCUGCUAAUGAUAUUGCACUAAAUUUAAUUGCACUACAUUAAGUUUUUACAUAUCUUUCGUAAAAGUUCGUCAGAGUAUGAAAAUGUCGAUUCAAUUUGUCAUGAAUAACUUGAAUUUUAAGAUUUUCGCGCAUAAAAUUAUGACGCGCGCUGUCUGUGCGGCGGCGUAAGUCGCUACUCGUAUAGCCGUCUCGCUUCUUCUUGUGUGUGCUUUACCGUUGCUCACCGCUUCAAGAACAUUGCUGCUCACACACACGUCAGUCUGUGGCAAACAAUUGGAGGGGGAGGAUGUGUCGGUUUGCUCCAGAAAUCGUGUGUGAUUUUGGUGAUCUGGAUUUGGUUCCAUCGCUGUUUGUUUUGGUGGAAUUGAAAAGGUAAGAAUCAUCAACCGAUGUAAAACUUUGAGAGUAAGAUGGUGCUGAUGGUGACUGAUGCUUUUCUUUGUUUCUUUUCCUGCUUUCAUCCACUGAUGGCGUCGAGCAUCGCCGAGGAUGUGAUCGAAUGCGGAAUAUUCUAAACAAGGAGCUUCAUUCCGGAUUUUGUUUGCAAUAAGCGCUGAACUAAUCCUCCAGCUUACAACGAACGGUCAACGGAUGAGGAAGGAGAAGAGGGACGGCAAAGGUACACGCACAAACGUGCACACCUCAGUCUUGUCGGAGAACGAGAACACGGGAGGGGGAGAUCGGCAACGUAGGUUCUAUACGUUCUUCAUUUACGCUCCCUCGUGCGUUCGUGCGUGCGUGCACGCGCGCGUCUGUGUGUGUGUAUGUGUGUGCAUGCCUGCGUGCGUGGCUGUGUGUGUUUUUGCCGCUUCGCUUAGCGAGAUCCUACGGGAUCACCUUGUGAAAAACACCAGAGAGGGGAGGGGUAGGUGUAUGUGUAUGUGUGUGUAUGUGUGCUUGCAUGCGUACGUGGUUGUGAGUGUGUUUUUUGCUGUUUCGCGAUCUCCUACGGAAUCAAAAGGGGGUGGGGGGAAACACGAGGGGGGGGAGGAGUGAGGUGUGUGUUUGUGUGCUAGCCUGCAUGCGUGCGUGGCUUUGUCUGUGUGUGUUUUUGCGUUCGCGUUCUCCUACGGGAUCACCUUGCGAAAAACACCAUGGGGAGGAGAAGGUGUGUGUGUGUGUUUUCUCUUCUUUGUCGUUUCGCACUCUCCCGUGGGUCUCCUUGUGUGCGUUAGUUUUUUUGUUUUUCAAGAAGAAAAAAAAAUACUUCGAAAAAUAGGUGGGGAGGGUGUGUGUAUGAAUGAAAGAAUGUGCUUAGAAAAAGAAAGUAGAAAAUAAAAAAAAUAUUGAACAACGGA